CCCCUCUCGAGGUCAUAGCCGGAGAGUUUCCAGGACUCUACCGGUCUUGACUACGGGAGGGAAAGUCAAUCAGAGGCGUAUGCAUUCCAUUCCUAGCUUGGACAGUGGCUAGUGAGAGGAAGGCAAUCUGCUGUAAGU